UACGUAGGGGGCAAGCGUUGUCCGGAAUCAUUGGGCGUAAAGAGCGCGUAGGCGGCCCAGUAAGUCCGCUCUGAAAGUCAGGGGCUCAACCCCUGGAUGCGGGUGGAUACUGCUGGGCUAGAGUCCGGAAGAGGUGAGUGGAAUUCCUGGUGUAGCGGUGAAAUGCGCAGAUAUCAGGAGGAACACCGAUGGCGAAGGCAGCUCACUGGGACGGUACUGACGCUGAGGCGCGAAAGCUAGGGUAGCAAACGGG
rnacentral:rRNA from 1 species